AAUCAAAUAGGACCCACACCUUUAAUAUAAGCCACAUGACUCAUUGAAACAACCACUCCUUUUAUCAUAACAUUAUGACUACCUGAGAAAGUAAAGUCAGGAAACCAAAAGUUCCCAUCUUCUUCUCACGCCAUCAACAACAACAACAACAACAACUCCUCUUCCAAAUCCUUCUAAUUCUUAAUGAAUGAAGCAUGCAAUUCCAGAUUUAGAAUCCCCAUGAAAUAUAGAACCAAGUAAGCUCCAUUCUUCCUAUUUCUUUUCUUCUUGGUCGAAAAACCCUUUUCAUUGUACCUACCCUCAAGUUUCAAUUCCUUCACCAUCUAUGAGAGGACUUGGAUGCAUGGUGAUCAUCUCUUCUCUGAUAAGCUGCCAAUAUUUGGAUUGAGUCAAUGUUACUCAGAAAGUUAAGGUAAGAAACUCACUUUCCAUGAACACAUAGUUUUUCCUCUUUUAAAUCCAAUCACUAAAUCUUAACCCCAUACUUGAAAUUUGUCCUUGGAUGCACGUUUACUCUUUAAAACACGAAUCUUGAGAUGUCUGGAAGGUCAUGGGUGUUGGAGAAAUCAAGUGAAACUAGAGAAUGAAGAAUUUUGGUAUCAAACCCGUAUUCAAGGACAGACCUGCACUAAAAAGUUUCAUAAUUUUUGGACGAGCGAUGAGGUCGAUAGACAUUUUUGAAGUUGGAAGCCAGUAGCAGGAAUUGUGCAGAAAAUCUGGAAUUUUGGUGUUUUAUGUGCUACGGGUUUGCAUCUUGAGCGGCUCAAGCGGAUGAUUAUAAGCAUGCGAAACAGUUCGGAAUUGCUAUCAAAUCAGGUAAACAGGUUAACCGGAGCAAGGACCAGGCAGGAACUGAUGAUCGAAGCUAAGCUUGGAUUAUUGGAUUUGAAGACCUUCGUCUUCUUCUUUGUUUUUGUUAAUCUGUUAUUAAGAUUUCAGUCAUCAUUUCAGCUGUGUUGUAUUGAUUAUCACAUUAUUCUCGUGAUAAUUUGUAAUUCAAUAAAUUAUUCUGUAAAUUUUAAUGUACUCAGAUUCAAUUAUUAAUAUCUCGACUAAAUAUUCUAGACAAUUUAGUUGGGAUGUUACAGGUAUGGGUGCGGGUACGGGUACCUUAGUACCCACCCCGCCCGAUACCCGCAUAAUAUAUAUUUAUUUUAUUUA